rnacentral:rRNA from 1 species
UCUUCGGAGAGUUUGAUCCUGGCUCAGGAUGAACGCUGGCGGCGUGCCUAAUACAUGCAAGUCGAGCGAACUGAUUAGAAGCUUGC